rnacentral:tRNA from 2 species
GGGGGUAUGGCGGAAUGGUAGACGCAGGGCAUUCAAAAUGCCCCGCCGCAAGGCGUGGGGGUUCAAGUCCCUCUACCCCUACCA